rnacentral:rRNA from 1 species
CCUACGGGGAGCUGCAGUCGAGAAUCAUUCACAAUGGGGGAAACCCUGAUGGUGCGACGCCGCGUGGGGGAAUGAAGGUCUUCGGAUUGUAAACCCCUGUCAUGGGGGAGCAAAUUAAAAAGAUAGUACCACAAGAGGAAGAGACGGCUAACUCUGUGCCAGCAGCCGCGGUAAUACAGAGGUCUCAAGCGUUGUGCGGAAUCACUGGGCGUAAAGCGUGCGUAGGCUGGUUCGUAAGGCGGGUGUGAAAGGCGCGGGACCAACCCGCGGACUGCACAUGAUACUGCGAGACUAGAGUAAUGGAGGGGGAACCGGAAUUCUCGGUGUAGCAGUGAAAUGCGUAGAUAUCGAGAGGAACACUCGUGGCGAAGGCGGGUUCCUGGACAUUAACUGACGCUGAGGCACGAAGGCGUGGGGAGCGAAAGGGAUUAGAUACCCGGGUAGUC